UUGUAAAAUUAUAUAGUAAAUGAUAUUGUAAAAUUAAAUAGUAAAUUCACACGAUGUUCAAAUAAUUCGAAAUAACGAUAGACCAAAAGCUGUUUAAACGAGACACAAGAAUUAAUCGUGCAUUUUAUUAAAAAGUUAAGUACGAAUAAAAGAAAGAAAAAUUUCGAACUUUUUUCGAAAGAACAUACAUUUAUUAUACAACAUACAUACAUUUAUUAUAUAUUGUGUUCUUUCAAACACAAUAAUACCUUCCAUAAAGGAGCACAGCCCAGAUGAGACUUUUUAUAGUUAAACUUUUAACGUACUCAUAGAAACGAAAUUUUUUUUUUUAAAUAGAACUGUUACAUUUUACGACACGUAUAACAUCGAACAUUUACCAACAUAGCGAUGCCAGCGUACAUAUAUAUAUACUGGUGUACUGGUCAUCUUUUUUCCACACGUUUUUAGCUUUUCAGCUGUUUGUGAAUGGGCGCCUAAUCAGCCAAUCAGAAAUGGCCGGUAUUCUAUGAAUCCUUUUCUUCAAUGCUCGAAGAGCUGGAUAUUUAUCCAAAGCUGGUGCCCCAAACAUAUACUCGUAAUUUUCAAGGGCCGCUGCAAAUACGAAGUCCGCCCAUGUCGUCUGAAAAAAGGAUUCUCCUCCAUGCGAUAGUAGCAGAUAUCUGAAACGUAUAUGAAACCAACCGUUACGUUCAUUUGUGUUUUUCCCCCCAAACGAAGAGAAAAUAAGGUGUGAAAGAAGGAGUAGCCUCUCAUAGUUCCUACAAUUUCUUCAUUCUCUUUGCUUUCUUCAAUAUUGCCUCAACAAGUUCCUGUGGUUCACGAUACUUGAAAUAUAUACAAUGUUACCAGCGUGGAAAUUGUCUUGGAAACUUGGAAAAUCUUUCAAGAGGAACAACAUUGCUAACUGAGAUUCGAGAAAGGAAAUUACCAAGAAUGUCGAGAUAUAAACAACCAUUUGUGGAAAGGUCAGGAGAAGCAGAAUUAUCGAAUAAACGUUAUAUAACUCUUAGUGAUUAAGUAAGAGAAGAGAAACGAGAAAAAAGUCUUUUAUCUAGGUCUUAAUAAAGUAUACUAUAUUUAUCUCCAUAUCAAGAAUAACAACAAGAUAUAAACAGUCUUCUAGAAAUUGAGUAAAUAUUACAUAAUUACAUCUUGAGCAAUAUUUUGCGUCUUAGCUUUUGCUUAAUCAUUAUGAUAAUCUUAAAUAUCUGUAAAUUCUUCACAGACUCUUUGCAUCUUCUAUACAGGUAUCUCAUGAUCAUGUGAUAACACACAGGAAGAAAAAAUAGAGGAAAAAACAGCGUAAAAAAAAGUUGCGUAGGAGUAUCGUCGCACUACAUCAUUCGACAAUUGAUGCACGUCAUGGCGAUCGUCACGGUUUAAAGCAGGCCAUCAAAAACACGUUUGUUAUCGUACGGAAAAAUCUGCGACGUUCCAGCUGUUCAGGUGCAUCGAAUUGUGAAUCAUCGGCGGUACGAAGCAAGGCGAGGGGCGUAAAUAGAGAAAGAAGAGAAGAGAAGGAUUCGCAUAAAUGAUAAAAUAUAAUCGUUCGUUCCUCGUCGAUGGCGGAUGGAUGGCUUUAAUCGUGAACGAUAUCGAUACGAUUAUAUUUUAUACAUUUGAAACAAAUAUAAAAGACGAGCAAAAACCAGAGAUACGAUCGUUAUGAUAUUAUUCAAUCGGUAGCCUAUUUACCUCGUUUUUUGUUCACCUUCUCUGUCUAGUAAUAAUUUUUCGAUUCGACUGGCGUGACGUUACGUUGGCGGUGUAGAAACACGAUUUUAAACACCUGCGGAUAGUUGCAUGAGUUUCGAGCGAUUCCAUUCCCUUCGAUUUAUAUUUAUGCGAUCAACGCGCGGAUCGUUAACGCAUUAUGCAGACAGCAGAUGUUACGUAAUCACACAUAUCGUAAUUGGAAAUUAGUAACGUUAUCGCGUACCAGGAUCUUCCUGUCUUUGAUCAUCGAGUAACACUUCGUUAGACAGGGAUUUGCAAAGAAUAAAAGUUGUAGAACGUUGAAAGGCGUUGAGAGAAACGUGAUGUUAUCCCGUUAUUCGUUAACGCAACGCAGUUAAAAAAAAUCCCGUAGGAAGAUUACGAUAAUAGAUAACCUGAGUCGAGUGUUUGUCGGGGGAUCUAAAAGAUUCUUUCGAGUUGAGCGUCUGAGAUUGCAGAGAAGAAAAUUUGGAAGCCAUCGAAUUCGUGAUGUCGAUAGAAAUCUUCAGUUGGAAUCGUUGUAUCAUAACGUAGUCUGCUUAUUGUCGAUAAGACUUUACUAAACUAAAAGUGACUACUAAAAGUUUCUAUCCUCUAAAUUCUAUCUACGAUUCUAUAAUCUAAAAACUGACUUUUGCAAACAAACUGUAACAUUCGCUUAACGGAAAGACAUACGUAUCUUGUUUGUACUCGUCUUUUCACAAUGAAUUCUUGAACGUCUGUCUCUGUGGUGAGACAAAUGCAAAGUCAUCUCAUCAGUUACUCACCUUGCUUCAAAUCUCCAAGAGUAUCGACGAGCUCGUCGCAUAUCAUCGCAUCCCAUUCGUCCUUUCCCAUUAGAUCGUACUUCCUCGCCAAGUAUCGCGCCACAGCGUUACUUUGCGCUACCGGUUUCCCGUCUAUCUCCAGCACAGGCAGCUUUUUAUAAGGCAUUGCUAAGAACAAACAUGGCUCAUAUGAACACUGUGUAGAGGGAAACGAUCGAUAGGAAAUCACAACACAGCUUCCGAGGCCGUUGCGUUCUUGUGAAUAGAUGAAUCGAAAUCAUUUCGGUUUUAAUCAACAUGACCUAGUAAAGAAAUACAGAAAUGUCUUCUUUCUCCUUUUUUUCUUUUCUUACGAUUACGAUGGACAGGGUAUCGCGUGUUUUUGACUGUUGGGAAGAAUCUAAAGUUUUUAAAAUCAAGGAUAAAAGAUAAUACCAGACACGGAAAAAAAUAUUAGAAAAUGUACACGGUUCUUGUAAUGAAAAUUGAAAUGCAAGGAAUAUAAAUCGAAUGUCUCUUGCGAACGUAAUUUUGUGUUUUACACCGACAGGAUUGAUUUACAGACUUACGUUGAUUUUUUGUUUCUCUAUCUGCAAGCGACAUAUAAGAUUAUAUCGAAGACUAUUUACGAUAGAAAUGUCGCAACGGAAGAUCGAAUUUUAUGUCUGCUUUGUUCUUUCUACUUUUUAGCUAUGUUCUUGUUCAUUUUCGAACUGAUUUCAAUUUUUUAUCCUUUUUUUCCGACAAGUCCUAAAAAGUUUUUAAAUUAACGAGAAACGUAGAAGUAUUUUUGUAUUCCUAUUUUAAGUCACCUAUUUACGGUUUUCUCAAAAUAUUCGAAAUGCUUCGAUUCAUUGAAAACAAUAAAGAUUGCAACACAAAAAUUCGAGAAUCGUAAGUGAAUUAAGUUGGUAUUCGAUGAACACGAUAUUACGGAAGCAAAACUUAAUGAAAAGUUCGACUUUAUUCCGUAUGAAAUUUUACUUUAAGUAAGUUUAGCCUGCACGUGAAACGAAAGUUUUAUAUACAGAAAAGUUUGAGUAAGUGGCAGAUAUCUGAGAGUUGAACGAUGAAAGUAAAAAUCGAUUCUUCACGCUUACAAUCCUUGUAUUCAGGCCAGAGUUCUUCGGGGAUCCUCUCGUCGGUAUACUCGAUGCCAGUAUAUGCAAAUAUGUACCGUAUAUGUUCGGCACGACCACGGGCAUUGAAGUAGAUUAGUUUGUAGGUAUGUUCGUCGCUCAUUUUCCUUGCUCUGUCAACUUAUCGAGAAAAAUGUUACAAUUAACUCGUGUAAUUAACAGACUGUGUGCGUGUUUGUGUGUAGAGAGAACAAUUUAUUUAUAGAUGGAAUAAUUCGUAUAAUACGCAAAAUAAAUCAUUUAGAAGGCUGGAAUAUAUGUUUUUGAAACAAUUAAUUAUGUCGAAAAAUAUUUCAAACGAGAUAUAAUUAUGAAAAAAAUAAUAAUUAAAUGUAUGUAAAUGUAUGUAAUAAUAGUUAAAUGUAUGUAAAUGUAAUAAUUAAAUGUAAUUAGUUGUGAAAAAAAUAAUAAUAAAAAAUAAAUAAAUGUAAAAAAAGAAUUAAAUGUAA